UCCUGUUCUGGGCCGAGGCACACACACAGAGUCGGAUGCGCUUGUCCAUCCCGGCCCGGGGGCGGGACUUCCGGUGCCCGGUCCGCACUUCCUGUGCUCUGCGCCUGACGGACAGCCGUGAGGGGAGGCCACGCCCAGGAGGGCGGGACUUCCGCUUCGAGGCCCACUUCCGGUCCCCAAGUCCACAGUCGCCCCAAGAGGGCGGGGCCGAGGGAUGAUGGACAGCCGGGGGCGGGGCGUGGCCGGACCCCGCCCCCUGGGCCCGACAUGACGUCAUCCCCCAUCGCCCCGACAUGACGUCAUCCCAGCCGGCGACGGGGACUUCGACCUCGCCGACGCCCUGGACGACCCCGAACCCACCUCGAAGCCCAGCGGGGGCCUCUACCCGAAGCUCCCGCAGGACCCGGCAGCCCCCGACCCCCACGGCGGAGGUGAGUCGGGUGCUCGAGGCUCAGUCCGCAGGGUGCUGAGGGCUCAGUCCUCGCCGGGGUCGCUCCCCUGAUAGUGCAUUCUGUGGGGUGCUGGAAGCUCAGUCCACUGGGUGCUUGUGGCUCAGUCCACUGGGUGCUGGAAGCUCAGUCCACUGGGUGUGGGUGCUUGUAGCUCAGUCCACAGAGUCCUGGUAGCUCAGUCCCCAGGGUGCUGAGGGCUCAGUCCUCGCGGGGGUCACUCCCACAUUUUUUUUAUGCUGGGUGCUGGAAGCUCAGUCCAAUGGGUGCUUGUAGCUCAGUCCCCAGGGUGCUCAGGACUCAGUCCUCGCCGGGGUCGCUCCCAUGAUACUUUAUUCUCUGGGGUGCUGGAAGCUCAGUCUGCAGGGUGCUGAGGGCUCAGUCCUCGCCAGGGUUGCAGCCAGGAUAGUUUUUUAUGCUGGGUGCUCGUAGCUCAGUCCCCAGGGUGCUGAGGGCUCAGUCCUCGCCGAGUCGGCUCCCAGUACCGAGUUACCGCUCCGUAAGCACCCGCGUGUGCUCUGACCCCGCAGAA